rnacentral:lncRNA from 1 species
CUUAGAUAGAUUUAUGGGGAAUACGAUCUAUUAUUGGAAACCUAUGUAUCGUAAAGCAAGAUUAAUGGGAACCUAUGUAUCGUAAAGCAAGCCCUAUACCACUUCCUUUAGCCAUUCAGAGCGGGCAAUUCAAUCAAAACCACUUAUUGCCUUCUAGAUAGGACCUAGGAGUUUUUUAGAGUGGGGAGAAUAAUCAAAACCGAAUAAGGGACAGAGAGUGGAAUGAAUGAUGGUUUUCCUAAUUGCAUUCGUAUUUCUUCUUGUGUGGACACCACCGAAGAAUCAAAGUCAAAGAAAGAGGGUGAAAGGCGCUUGCUUACUGUCAAAGCGGAAAGCACUUUCAAGUCAUCAGUGCUAUAUCGGACCGAUCUUCUUUAGUCCGGGUCAUCAGUAAGGUCGUCCUGCCUAACCCUUUACUCCGAGCGAGUUAGUAUUCAUUCUAAUAUGAGCAGAUGGGCAAGCUUCGUGCCUUGGAAAAGAGUCUUGCUCAAAAGAUCCAAUAUUAGGGUAGGGUACCAUAUGUAGAAAGUGUUAGCGGGAAAGCAAGGUCCGGCCAUAUGAUGCAAGAUUGAGACAGUAAGAUGCACACUAGAUCCAUUAAAGGACAGUUCCUUAAACACACACUGGAUUACCCUUAUAGAAUAUCUGCCCAGAAUAGAUAGAAUAGCUCCGGCCAAGAAAUUAGCACAACACAAAGAGAGGGAAAAACAAGAUACGAGACUAGAAAACGUUACCCUUACAGGGGUCCUGUCCUGUCCUAGCUUAUGUUCGUCUUCCGUUCAUUUGAGUAUACUAACAAAGGCUUCUCUGUCUGCCUUUAUAUCUUUUCCUAGGCUAGGAUUAUUAUCCCGAGCAGAGUUCGGCUGUGCUAGCUGGUUAGACAGUAGCUGCUCCUACAGCCCUUCUCUUGACUACAGGAACAGAGAGCGAACUGUUAGCAUUCCUAUACCCAUAAGUGUAUUAGUAGGUAAGAAUAGGAAUUGGACCUGAAGAAUGGAAUGUUGAAUGAGAAACUGCAGAAUCAGAGUUCUUGCUUUGUCAACUCACUCCUCUCCUAUUACUUACUUCGUGCCCUCUCUUUUGACUUGUGCCAUGUAAUCUUUGCCCUCUAGCUCUCUUUUCUACGUCAUAAUCAAGAUUCCAAAGGGAAGCCGUAAAGUACACAGUGAGAACAAUCAACGGAACAAGCUUAUUGUGUUAGGAGAGGAGGAGCUUAAUAAGGAAGCAAUGCUCUUAAUUGACUCUAUUUUCUCUUAUAGAAUGUGUGCACUCAAUGAAGAAGUUCAAUAAGGCUGUAAGCAGUCAGGACAGGAGUAAGGAGUGAGCAGUGAUUUUCUCUACUAUUCGAGUUGGUAAGUGAGCGCAGAGUGCUUUUACUGUGCUUACUUUGACUAGAAUCUAGAUUGUGUACGACUUAAACACCACUUAAAUGAUUAAAGCAACGGCGGUCCUACAAGGGCAGUAAGAAAGUACCAUAUGUCUAGCCUUCAAUGUUUGCCUCAAUUCUCUUCUUUUUCACUAGAUUCUAUUGCUAUAUCCAGAUUCCAUUCAAACAAUCAACUUGUUGUCUCGGGGAACAAGCUAAAUUCAGUAUACUAUGUUCCCUUGUUCUAACGUGAGGAAAGAAAGUAAGCAAACUCCCUAACACGCCCCAAAACCCCAGAAGUAAGCUAACGCACGCCGACUUGGCUUGUUCGCCCAUAUGAUAUCUAUUAGGAAGCAAUGCUCUUAGUUGACUUCAAUUAGGAAGCAAUGCUCUUAAUUGACUUCAAUCUAUGAGUGAUGCAGCCCUCUCCUAUUUUCUUCAUGAUAUUGCCCUUGUAGCAUGUUAGUUUGUUAUACCUGUUCCUUUACCUUCAAGCAGUAACUACGAUUGACUCUUCCAGUGUGGGUUUAAUAAGAGCAGAUAGUCGAUAGAAGCUCGCAUCCCCAUCCCCUUUCUAUCUAUGUGUAGUUUGUCCUAUUAUAGAGUUCGGUUGUUAGCGAGUUCCAAUUGUUUCAUAUAAGUAUGAUAUAAUAGAAUAAAUAAAUGGGUAUAGAGAUGCUAUAUUUAUAAAUAAAUGGGUAUAGAGACGCCAUAUUGAAGUAUAAUCCAUGAUAGCUUGACAAAGAGAACGUAUAGGGUUUGGCAGAUAGCUUAAGUAAGUUCCUUAUGGGUUGGGAAAGAUGAUAGCUUUUGUGAGUUCCGUAUGGGUUCGGAAACAGUAUUCCAUAAUCUAAAAGAAAGUAACUUCAAAUAACUGCUAUAGAAAAGGAGACAGUACUGGUUCGGGUGUUGACAGGUAAUCUGAGUCAGUCCUGUUUCGGGAGUUGAGUUAGAAGAGAGAGAAUCUGAAAUGCCCAGCAAGAGAAAGAGAGUCCAAUUUCCAUUCACGAGUUUCGGCAGUAGUAACAAAUAAGAACUCUAUAUAUGACUAUAGCUUGUUUCUGUCCUUCAUACGAGUUUCCUUCUGGUCGACAAUACAUUCAUUCUUCUAACAGUCUUGCUUCAAUGAGUGUUGCGGUAAGCGGGACUGAAAGGAAAGUGUAGUUCUACUUUCAUAGUAGUUUCAUCCUUUAUACAUAAUUUCAUGCUCAUCUCUUUUCUUGAGGUUAAGCAGUUCCAUUCCAUUCUUACUUCUUUUCUUUGUCAGUUCAAUCUCAUUCUGCGCGUUAGGGAAGAGAGUUCGGGUUGCGUGCCGACUUGUAGUUCAGGGUAUAGGUCAAACCAAACAAUAGAGAGCUGGAUCUUAAGAUGUAGUGGAAUAAGAAUCCUAUGUUAGAUCUUCCGCGCAAGAAACAAGUACACCUGUUUUCAACUCGUCUUUAUUCCGCUGACUGCUUUCAUUGCACCCGAAGGCAUAGAGAGUAAGGAACAAAUGAAUAUAUAUUAAUGAGCUAUGAGCUAUAGUCCAGUGUCCGCGUCAUUAAGUAACAAGUAUGUCAUUAAGUAACAAGCACUGCGUAAUGUAGUAACAAAAACACAGCUCUGACUUUCUUUAUUGAAUUGGACCCGCUUCUUUCACUUCUCGACCAGAUCUGACUUUCUUUAUGGAAUUGGACCGCUUCUUUCACUUCUCGACUUGAAUUGGACCGCUUCUUUCACUUCUCGACCGGGACUUCCUCCUAUAGAUAAGAUAAGAUACCUGAUAUAUGGAUCUAUGGGCAAAGAAGCGGAUUUCUAAUUCUCUUCCUACACAAGGAGAAUCUAUUGUACCACCGAUGGAAGGGAAAGACAAUAAGAAUCUAUUGUACCACCGAUGUAAGGGAAAGCGGACUGAGAUACCACCGAUACCCUAUGAAAGAGAAGGAAGGGUAGAGAAAGAAAGCA